rnacentral:rRNA from 1 species
GACGAACGCUGGCGGCGUGCUUAACACAUGCAAGUCGAACGGAAAGGCCCUGCUUUUGUGGGGUGCUCGAGUGGCGAACGGGUGAGUAACACGUGAGUAACCUGCCCUUGACUUUGGGUUAACUUCAGGAAACUGGGGCUAAUACCGGAUAGGAGCUCCUGCUGCAUGGUGGGGGUUGGAAAGUUUCGGCGGUUGGGGAUGGACUCGCGGCUUAUCAGCUUGUUGGUGGGGUAGUGGCUUACCAAGGCUUUGACGGGUAGCCGGCCUGAGAGGGUGACCGGCCACAUUGGGACUGAGAUAGGGCCCAGACUCCUACGGGAGGCAGCAGUGGGGAAUAUUGCACAAUGGGCGGAAGCCUGAUGCAGCAACGCCGCGUGCGGGAUGACGGCCUUCGGGUUGUAAACCGCUUUCGCCUGUGACGAAGCGUGAGUGACGGUAAUGGGUAAAGAAGCACCGGCUAACUACGUG